GUUCAGCAAUCUUGGAAACAAAUGAAGACUUCUUUGAACAAGUCUUGGUGUUCUUUGGCUUAGGGGUCUGAACCUCCACAUCCACAUUCACAUAUGCAUCUUGGUGGACCGGGUCUGUCACAUCCACAUCAACAGACUCAACAUGCUCUACAACCUUAACUUUCCUUUUGUCCAUUCUUUUCUUCUUACUUCGGCCAUAGCCUUUUGUAACUCCUUCUCACUAUAUUUCAACUUACUCCUUGUGGACCUUCCUUUUGGUAGUGAAAUCUCAGCACUUGUUGGAGAAGUAGCCUUCCUUUUCUUGGUAGUUUUUGCAAUGAUAGGGGUUUUUGGUGUUGGGUUCUCCUUUUCUUUGGAUUAUAGCUUGCACCCACUUUCUUUAGAAGGUCUGCUAGGGUCUCAUCAAUAGAUGAACCAGGUUCAUCUCCCUAUGAACUAAAAUUAACCAACCCUUCAGCAUCCUUCCCUGAACCACUUCCCCCUAUUUUCUUUCUCCUUUGUUCCACAUUUUCAUGUUCAUCCCCACAUAUAGCCGGUCUAACCAUUUCAGAAAUUGGUGACGAAUCAGCCGCUCUUUCCCUUUCCCUUCACAUCACUACUCACACCCUCACUCUCCCUUUCUUUUUCACUUUUAUUUUUACCUCCUCUCCUUGACUCAAGCAUUUCCAC
rnacentral:lncRNA from 1 species